rnacentral:lncRNA from 1 species
CCCAAGCCUGAAUUUCACAGAUUUAUGGGCAAAGAAGAACAGGUGACCAGACUGCAGGGUGAAUGGUCACCUUAUCUCACGAGGUUGAGCUGUAGAAAGAGCAGCUCAUAGACCGGGCAGAGCAAGUGACCUCCGAAAGGCUUCACUGCUUGCUGAGGUGACGAACAAGCAGGAAACAGCAGGAUUGGCAGCUCUCUGAAUGAAAAGACUAAAGAAAGACUGCAAAAAUGAAAAGGGGAAGUGGAGGAAGACAGAAAAAUGCCUGGCCCAGCAAGAGAGAUGACCUCCAGACUGCAGGCUGAUCUGUACAGUGCCAUCCCAGACCUGUGGAACCAGUGGGGGCAAGACAGAUCCCUCCCAGGAGAGAUCUUCAGACUACUUGCUGUACCUGCAACCAGGAGCUCCUGUGGGCCAAGAACAUGGGUUCUAUUUUCGUGCUUUGCCGGAGACAUGACACAGGCGCAGCGUAAGUCAGGUCUGCCAGGCCGACAAGGCGUUCCCAAGCACAAUUUGGUAUUUUGGUGGGGGAGGGGGAGGGAGAGAGGAGGAGCUGAGGGGAAAACUGGUUGGGUUGACAUUCAAGAUUUCUCCCAAAAACUGGCACUUCCGUAGAUCCUGCCUACCCCACCUUUAGGCAAAAUAUGUCUUAUUUAAAAACUUGUGUAUGAAUUUAGAAUUGUAAAAAAUAUAUUUACAUAAAUAAAAAUAAUUAUCUGUACUGUAAAUUAAAUUCACAUUUAGUAGCAGUACUAUUAGGAAUUCCCUACAGUGCAGCCAAAGAAAUCCACCGUCUCGAAGCGAACUAGAUGAAGGACUCAGAAACAUCUCUCUUCCUUAUAUUACCUUAAACAUACUGAGGGACAAUUUCUUGUCCUUUGAGUCUGUUAAGCUUCUUUUGGUGAACAUUGCACACAGCAAUGCCAUAAAGUCUUUCAUGGUUGAUCGCAACCAUGUUUUCAAUCUGUGUAACCCGCUAAAAUUGUGCUGUGCUUGAGCAGAUGAUAUGGGUACCACCAUCAACAACCUCACUAGUGUCCCUACCUGAUCAAACAGGCCACAGACUUCAGGGGGCAUUUCUUUCAAAGCAUGCACAGCAUCUGUGGUUGUGUUGAACUUGCUUUUAAACAAGUCUUUCUCUUUCAUUUCAAGAAAUCUGCGAACUGCUGUAUCAUUUGAUAUGGAACUCAGGUAAGUUUUCCAGUUCUUUUGAUGUUUGAUUGCCUGGUUGCAGACCCUACUCUGUAAAAAUCCACAGCUGACCCAGGUGUGUAUGCAGGAGCCUACCCAGAAUACCCUUAAGGGGGCCUAUGUGUGUGGGGUGGAACAAGGGGCUAUAGAGACCGAUUGCCACACCUGUCCUCUGCCUUCUUAAAGACUGCCUCAAAGUAUGUUGUGUUUUUCUAAGAUUUCAAGCUGUCUUGGCCCAAGGAGACUGCAGACAGCAUGCCCUUGGUUGUCUAAGUCUUUUUCAGGAGAGAUGUGUUCAGAAGUUGUAGCUCACUGAUCACAUCUAAAGCAAGCAGAAGUCCCAGUACAACAUUACCCUGUUGCAGUCGAACAUGUAAGCCCUCUGCCUUGCUUGCAGACUCAUCUCAUCUCAUCUAGUGCACCAUCCCGUAUUGGCCGAUGGUGUUGGCAGAUCCUUUUCAGUUGCAUCCCCCAGGUUUCUGUCCUGGGGCCACUGUUGUUCUCUCUUUACAUAAUUCCACUUAUCUUAGGAGUUUUGAAGUUUUAUCUUAUCAUUUAUAUGCAGAUGACAUUCAGCUGUACAUGUCUUUUAAACCUAAUAAUGUCUCUAAGUUGUCCAUUUUAAUUGAAUGUGUGAACUUUAUUAAGGCAUAGAUGGCAAAUAACUGUUUUCAGUUAAAGGCUGACAAAACAGAGGUUCUUAUCUCAGCACCUAAGCAUGUUGUGCCAAAUGUGAUGAAAAGUCUUAAUGUCCUAUCCUCUGCCGUAAAACCCUCCCUCUGAAACCUGGGUGUCCAAAUGGGCCAGGCCCAAAGUCUGGAGAAGCAUGUAAAUGGACUGGUUCACUAUUUUUUUUAACCAUUUAAGGAAUAUAUCAAAGCUCAGACCCCAAGUGUCCAGGAAUGAGCCUUUAUUUAAUCUCGUCUGGAUUAUUGUCAUUCUUUGUUCACCUGUUUAAAUACCACUUCUUUGAACCGGCUGCAAGUGGUUCAAAAUGCUGCAGCUAAAUUCCUGACAAGAUCUUUCUCAUGCCACACCCAUCCUCAAAAGUCUUUACACUGGCUCCCCGUUCAAUUCAGAAUCCAAUUUGAAUGACUUAUUUUUGUGUACAAAGCUUUGCACAGACAAGUCCCAAUGUAUAUCAGAGACCUGCUAAAGCCAUAUAACUCCAGCAGGACUUGAAGAUCCUCUGAUCAGGGUUUGCUGGUUUUCCCUCAGACCAGGCUCCGAACUAAAGGAGACUGUGCAUUUGAGUUGUUUGCUCUGUAACUUUGGAACUCUCUCCCUUGUGAACUAAGAACUGUGGACACUGUGGUUACUGUCAAAAAAGCAGUUAAAAACCCAUUUGUUUCAACUUGCCUUUGUAUGACCAGGACUUUGGAGGCUAGUAUGCUAUUUGUAGAUGUUUAUGUCUUGUCAUCCUAUCCUCUUUAACUUUGUGACAACUGUUCUUGAACGGCGCUAUAUAAAUACAGUUCAUAAUUAAUCAAUUAUUAUUAUUCUUCCUUUUGUCUCUAUUCCUCAUUGAGUCUUUUUUCUCCUGGGGCUGCCCCCUGGCAGAUCUUUCCUUGACUGACUGGGCCUGGGGCCUGCCUCACUAUCAUCAGGAAUUGCCUGCAGGACAGGAGGAUAAUAUUAAUAUCUUCAAUCUCAUAAUUAAAUUUUCGAAAAGAGAGUCUAAAGGAGAAUCCGACAAUAAACACAACAAAACAUGGGUAAAUAUUGGAGCAGUGUUUCAGAGAUGGAGACAACUGCAGGAUGGCAAGCUGGAUUCCAAGCUCGCUCUUCAUCUCCUGGACUGGUAUGCUAAUUUCAUUUUCCCGUAAUAUUUAAAUGUAUUGUGGUGCCUGUAAGCAGUCAUAGCUGGCGUACGGGUGAUGAUGUAUUGAAGAGGUUGUAGAAUGUGACAUUUUAGUCAUAUUGCACACCUACAGUCGCCAGUGUCUGCAUGGUAGUCUGUUGGCAUCUACAGUAGCACCAAUGCUAUUUACUUUCAUAUUGACUGAGCCCCAUUUGUAGUUAUCUAAAGCAGUGGUCCCCAACCUUUUUUGCGCCACGGACCAGUUUAAUGUCAGACAAUAUUUUCACAGACCGGCCUUUGGUGUGCGGGAUAAAUACAACAAAGUAAAAUGUUACGACCAAUACAAACACUAUGGUAUUUUGUAAAUAUAAUAAUAAACGUGAAUCCACUGUGUACUUCUAUGUAACUUUAUUAGCAGCGUCCUCCUGACAUGCGUCAACAACAUAAUAAGAGUAACAUCCUCUUUGCCCCCGAAUGCUCUCUGGUUGCUAUGGUAACGCUUAAACAUGCCCUCAAAAUAAGAUACACCACGAAACAAAUAUAAAGUACAUGAAAAAUACAACUCACCAAAACGCUAGAUCAAUGAGAGCCCUGAGCAUGUUUCUCUGCAAUGAGACGGUCCCAUCUAGGGGUGAUGGGAGACAAUGACACCCAAAGUGUGUUGCUUAUGUCCAGUCUACUCCGUAACUUUGUUUUGGUUGCUGUGACUACAGAAACCCCGCUUCACACAGAUAAGAUGUCGGAAAUGGCAACAGGGUUUUCAGUGCUGUUGUGGCAAUCUCUGGGUACUCUGCUAUUACUUCUAUCCAGAAUAUCGGCAGAGUUGAUUUCUUCAACAGAUUUUUAAGGCCUCCGUCAUUUGUGAUCUCCAACAGUUGAUCUUCUUCUUGCACAGACAUGCUGGAUUCGCCUGGUUUAUUGACAAAUGGGUCGGGAAUCCAUUCCUUGUCAGUCCGUGGGUCUUUGUGGUUGGGAAGUAGUGCUUGGACUCUUUUGAAAGAAAAGACAGGUGAUCAUGCACCAGCUGGGAGAAUGACUGCUUAGGCUGAGUCUCUUCCAAAAUGUUUGAAACAGGUCAAAUAUGCCCCUGUUCACGCGUUGUCUCCACAAAUCCAGUUUGGCUUUAAAUGCAGCUACUUUAUCUGCCAACUUUAAGUCAGUUGUUAUUUUCCCCUGAAGGCACAGAUUGAGUUCAUUGAGCAGGCUGAAUACGUUGCACAAGUAAGCGAGUUUUGUGACCCACUCCCUGUCACUGAAAUGUGCUGCCAGCGGUGACUUCUUUUCUGAGAGAAAUCUCUGCAGCGGCUCUCGUAAUUUAAACACUCUGGCAAGCGAUCUCCCUCGGGAUAACCAUCUUAUUUCUGAGUAUAAGAGAAGGCAUCUGUGCUCUGCGUUCAUCUCCUCACAAAGUUGCUUGAAUAGGCGUGAGUUAAGGGCGUGUGCUUUGAUGUGGUUAAUAACUUAAACAACAUCAUUCAAUACGCUUCUCUGUGAAUGACACAAUGUGUAGAUUCACAUUCAGGUGUAACCUCCUUAAUCCGAGCAGUUAAACCAGACAGCUGUCCAGUCAUGGCAGCAGCUCCAUCUGUGCAUAUGCCGACACAAAAAGACCCUUUAAGUUUUCCUGAUACAUAGUCAUCUAGCGACUUAAAUAAUUCUGUGGCUGUGGUUUUGGUUGUCAAUGAUAGUGCACACAACAUACCCUCAUGCACAUCCUCCUAAUAAUGGUAUCGCAUAUAAACAAGUAGUAUUGCCUUGUUGUCCACAUCUGUGGACUCGUCAACCUGCAGUGUGUACCACGGUGAUGUAUUAAUCCUCUCCAACAACUGUGUCUCAAUGUCCUCUGCUAUUUCUUCAAUGCACCGAGGGACAGUGCUAGUCGACAGAGGCACCUGUGCAAUGUUUUUAACUGCAGCCUCUCCGAAAAGUUAACAGCAAAUGUCUUAAGUCGCGGGAAGGUUCAAUUCUUCACCAAUAGUAAAUGGCGUUUUAGCCUUAGCAAUAUGGUCAGCCACCAAGUAUGACACUCUCAGUGCACUUGCAGUUGUUGAUGUGGAGGCCCUCAGUAAUUGCUUCUGCCCUUCUUGUUCCUGCUUUUAUCUUUCAGAAUACUCCAAAAGCUUGUUUUUUUAAUACAGGGUGCUUGGUCUCCAAGUGGCGAAGUGUUAGAAUAAUGUGCAUAAAUGUAUAUAGAAGUUAUCAUUAUUCCUCAUAUUCUUAUGUAAGAGUUUAUACUACAAGUGUAAACUGCUUUGACCUCUUUUAAUACAUUAUAUAAGAGUAUUUUUAUCAUAUAAGAGUGUUUCCUAACUUCUCUCUCCAAUAGAUUUACUACACAGCAGAACAAUGUUCUUUCAGUUUUCUGUGACUGUGUCUUUCCUAUCAGCAGGUGGGGGUGUGUGAGUGAUGGAUCCUCCGCUAUAAAUCGUGGGGAGUUUUUGAGGAGGUGCCGCUGUUAUCAGAAGGAGCUCGUUAGAUGCCGCCUUGACUUUCACAUAUUCACAAGUGUUCAUUAUUAUGCUUUAUGAGAGUGCUUACGUUGCUACACAUAUUUUUCUCCACCCUUUUAGAAACAUUGUGUAACCAGGGACAAGACUAAAUAAAAGAGACUGGGCGGAAAUACCUUUAGAGUGGUUUCGACAUGGUACCUGAAGCUAUCUCGGUCCAUUCUCCUCGAGCAUA